CUGUGAAUCUGAAAGAGGAACACAAUGUCAUUUCUACACCGAUCAGAGCACAGAGUCUUUCAGAUCAGUGCCAAAUAGGUUUGGCACCUGUCAACUCACUGUAUCUGGGAAGGAGAUGCUAGGAAUGAGAACUCAACAGACAUCUGAGAUCUUUCUGAGCUGCAGUGUUGAAUUGAAUAUGGGGAAUCAAAUCCUUUCCUCACAGCGGAGUAAAGCUAAAAUACUGAAGGUCGAUGAUCAGUUUAAAGGGUUUCAUAUUCAAGUGGACCUCAAGCACAUUGACAAAGAGGAGCGUGUUACUGUUCGUUGUGAAGCUGAGAGAGGAACACACUGCCAUUUCUACACGGAUCUGAGCAAUGCCCCUUUCAGAACUGUGCCAUUCCGGGAAAAGUAUAAAGUCUGUUUCCUCACUGUGUCUGGAAGGGAGCUGCUGAAAGGGAGAGGUAGUGGAACCAGCACUGAAGUCUUUGUGAGCUGUGCAGUUGAAGUGGUGAGAGCAGGCGAUCGAGUUACUUCACAGCGCAGUGAAAUUAUAGGAAUCAGGGUGGAUGGUGUCCCAGAUGUCACAGAAUCACAUAUCACUGCAAAAAGCCCUGAUGUUACUGGGACACAAUCCACAACAAACAGUCAUGUUUUCUUUUCAGGCAAAUUUCCUGAGAUUGUCACUUGGGGGGCAGGUGGUGGACUGCUCUUUCUCAUGACAGUAGGAGUUGUGACAUUCCUCUGCCUCAGUGCGUUGAUGGUUUUUGUUAGCAGUAUUCUGUGUCCUUUUAGAGUGAGCUGCUCUUGUAACUGAUAGAUUGAAAACACCCUUUAGCUUCUUGUAGCACAAGAAACAUAAAACAUAGUUUUAUUUUUUG
rnacentral:lncRNA from 1 species